AGAGUUUGAUCAUGGCUCAGAGUGAAUGCUGGCGGCAUGCUUUAUACAUGCAAGUCGAACGGAGAAGUAAUUUUUUGUAGCAAUACAGAAAGUUUUUUUUAGUGGCGAGCGGGUGAGUAAUAUAUAGGAACUUACUCAAUAGUGGGGGAUAACAGUUGGAAACGACUGCUAAUACCGCAUAUUCCCGAGAGGGGAAAGGUAUUUAUAUCGCUAUCGAAGAGGCUUAUAUCUGAUUAGCUAGUUGGUGAGAUAACUGCUUACCAAGGCAAUGAUCAGUAGCCGGUCUGAGAGGAUGAUCGGCCACAUUGGGACUGAGAUACGGCCCAAACUCCUACGGGAGGCAGCAGUAGGGAAUAUUGGACAAUGGACGAAAGUCUGAUCCAGCAAUGCCGCGUGAGUGAUGAAGGUGUUAUGCAUCGUAAAGCUCUUUUAACAGGGAAGAUAAUGACAGUACCUGUAGAAUAAGCACCGACUAACUAUGUG
rnacentral:rRNA from 1 species